ACACGGAUUUUAACCUCCAGCACUUCCCUCUCUGUUUCAGCCUUAUAUAAACACUCUGUGUGAGUCUUUGUUAGGCAUGUUUUGUGUUUGAUUCGACCUGUUCUGCCUCUUUCACUUCAACCGGAAACUCUUGCAGACACGAAGGUCCUUGUUGGAUACAGCAGGAAAUGGGCAGCGCACGAUCAAGAUCAAACACACAUGUGGCCAAUGCAACAGAUAAGCACUUGAGAAUUUACUAUCAGACAUCAAAGAUGGUACUUGAAGAUCUUGUGGUCCACGCAGAGGCAGGGGAGGCUUAUUCGAGCGUAAGCUUCUCAGCAGAGGGAAAUGUCAGCUCCACAAUGGUUUUUAAACCUGACUCACAAGUGCACUACAUCCCUCUUCCUCCUAAAGAAUACAUUAACAUUGCAGGGGAAGGGGAGCUGUUUGCCAGCGUACUUGUGGAAGAUAGAAAAACAAACACCUGCCUCAAGUGCAUCUGCCUUAACUUCCAUGUUCCCUGUGACCGAUCCUUCAUUGUGACGGCCAGUGAAAACAUCAAGCUCCAAAAGUACGGUGCAUCAGUCUGGGUUGAUGAAAGUGGUCAGAACCAUCUCAGAAAUGAAUAAUCAGUCGUUUUUGAUAAGUGUACAUCUUUCAUGUGAUUUCUAUUCCAUUUCAUUGUGUGCGGUGGGAAUGGACAACAGCCACUGCUUAAAAUGUGCUUCAUGAAUAAAAAUUGAUUUGAUGACUAAA